ensembl:lncRNA
AGAGGAAGGCAGCGGGUGGCCUGGUAGCAGGCAGUUAGCUGCUUCCAGGUGGCACCAGCGGAACAUUUUGCUUUAUCUAUCUGAGGAAGAAAGAGGAUCUGUCACUCAAGUCAUUCAGACAAAGUUUCUUUUCACUCUCCUGGAAGUGUUUGACUGUACCUGGAGGUUUUCUUGCUGUUACCCAAGAAAUAAAGAUUUUUAUCAGUGGAAUAACCAGGACUCCUUUAUUUCAGUUCUGUUGAAACACGAGGCCAGUGAUGAUGGGAGGAGUUGGCAGCCUGUACAGGAUGACAUGAAAAACAAUUUGCUGAGCCUUGCUAUUGAGAUAAGGACAAAGGGCUGGGCCAGCUCUGGGGGCAGCAUGCAUGGCUCACACAAGGUCUGCAGCUCAGUGAGAGCUGGGAUGGCAGAGGGGCAGUGAUGGGAGAUGGUUCUGAAGUAGGGGUUGUGGAAAGAGCAUCUAAAAGACAAAGCAGAGAUGGCAGUGAGUAUGAAUGGUGGGGGCUUCUGGGUUAUAAGAAUCUGUGAGGGAGGAACAGAUAGAAAAUCUGCAGUACAAAACCAAGUGCAUGAAAUUCAUCAAGACAUGUUAUUGUUUAAAAAAAAUAAAAAGCUGAUAUUUUUGGUGCAGUUCAGCAGGCAGUCAUUUGCUUGAAAUUACACAGAAAAGAUGGAUUUAACUUCCCUGCUGAAAUACAUCUCUUUGCUUGAUAUCAGUCAAGUGGGCAGGACAAGACUGCUCAGGAAGCUUUGCAAUGCAUGAUUUCGUAAAGAAGUUAGCAGGGACAUCCAAAUGUCUUUAGUGACCUAAUAUUAAUUCCUUUUAGCCAGCAGAUGGAAUUGGAAUAUGCUGGUAGCAAGCAUUACAUAUCAUACCAUAAUCAUAGAACCAUAGACUUAAAGAAUAGUAGAAUCAUAAAAUAAUUAGGGUUGGAAAAGACCACGAAGGUCAUGUAGUCUAACCACCAAACUAUCAUUUAUUUUACGUAAGAUGCAGAGCCACAAAAAUAUUUCCUUCAGGAUAGUUGAGAAAAAUCCAAAGGAGCGAUCUGCAGAUUCCUGCUAUGAGAAACACUGGGGAGUACAGAAUGGGAGCCUGUAGUGUAGUUUUGAAAAUGAAAGGUAGGAGCACAAAAUAAUUGCCGGUCAAAUUUCAGAGAUGUCAGUGUGUUUGCACCCAUGUGGCACAAUUGCUCUCCGUGGGGUAAGCACUAGGCCUUGUUGCGUGAAGUCUGAGCAUCUCUGCCUCCAGAAACACAGCACUGGCCCAAGUUUAGCACCAGUGAAGUUAUUUGUACAGAAGCAAGUAAUGUAAAUGAGAGCUCCAAAAAAUAUCCAGUCAGAAAUAUCCUCAGAGGUGUUAAACAGAAGGAGAAAGAAAAACCAUUUACAGUUGCAAACUAUUUUUAAAGAUGAUUUCAUAGGCACCAAAAUAUUUUUCUAACCUCUUCCUGGCUGCACUUUAACAGUGGAAACGUAUUUCUUUGUGCCUGGCAUUCUCUUUUGCUAGUUGCACUCACAAUUACAGGGGAAGAAACAGUGUCUUUGUAUGCAGACCACCUCCCCUUCUCCCCAGGCUUUGGCUUUGUUCUCCAGAGCAACAGCCCUGAGUGGGCCUCCAUCCCCGCUCAAGCCAUGAGAUGGUUAGAAAUGCUGAAGAAACACACGGAAGUCCUCAGGGUCCGUGAAGACGAAACUCCUGGGUGGAAUAACCAGAAGUAUGUUGGAAAAUGCAAAUAACUGGUGACCCCAUGACUUCUUUCAAUGCAGUAAAUGGUUCUCCAUUAGAUCACAAACAAACACGUGUUUGACAGUCUCUGUUCAUGAUAUUAUUUCCAACCAUAGCAUCCCAAACAGUUAAGCUGCUGUACACAAACACUGAGAUACACAUUUGUUGUCCCUGAGGAAGUAUAGCAUGAAAAGGUGAAAGGAAGAAGGAAUCAGUCUAAGCAUAGGUGGAAUUAGACCAUAGCAGGUGAAAAAUCUCUUCAAGAAUACGAGAUUAAUAAGACAAAAAUAUCUAUCAGUGAGGAUUUUACUGGCCAAAGGUGUUCCAAGUUCUGGUACUUUGCUUGGACAGCUACUUUUAGUCCUAUCAUCAGUGGACAUGAAAAGCUCUUUCUCCUUUUCUCCUGUGCAACUACUUUCUAAGUCUACACUGCUUCCUGUAAGUCUUCUUGUGUAAAAGAUCGAACAAACCAUAUUUCUGCAUUCUUUCCUUAGCAGCUGUGCUUUCCACAGCUCAGAUUGUGCUUUCUGUUCUCUGAACAGCCAGCCUGGUUGUUUUAAGUGGACCAGUUAGCAGAGGUGAUUUAGGAAACAGGAGAAUACAGAUGAGAUAUUGAUAUACACUUAGGAUCAAAGUAGAUUAAAUACUGAGAAAAAAAAAAGAUGCAUUAAAUAAGCAUUUAUUUACUUUUAAAAAAACCCUCCCCAUCUACCUUUACCCUCACAUUCACUGUACACAUCCACCCAGCCCAGUUACCCUUUCUCCUCUUAUUUCAGCAGCUGUAGCAUUAGUGACAGUUAGUUUAAUUGCCUAAAACCAAAGCACCUGCCUCAGAAGUGGCUUGUCUUACAAAAAUCGAGGCCUGCUGAAACAUUUUGAGGAAAACAUUUGUUUCAUUUUGUGUGAUAUGGAUCUUCCCUUGAGUCAAGGACAGAAGAUAAAGGAGGAAAGUUUGACAUUUUGACUUCAGUCUGGAAUGCAGGUAAAGGCUUGAAAUACAAACUCCUUAGUGAACAGAUUUGAUUAAGAUAUCAUUUUAAACUGCUGUCUCUUUUUUCUUUAUUUAUUUGUAACUGUGAAAGAAAGACAAAUAGUCUUAUCUUUACCAUUGGGGGAAGAAAAGAUAUAAGCUGGCAGUUCUUGCUGAGGAAGUCUGAGCGACUUUGAUGGCUCCAGUGAAAGCUUGUUGAUUCGUUUGAUCUUUUGUUGACUAACUGUGGGUUUGGGAAUGUUACAAUCCAUGUUUACAUAAUGUUGCUUAACUGAAAAGCCUCACCUCGGGUGAAAAGACACAGCUGGAUUUAAAAGCAAGCUAGGCCAGGUUAAAAAGAAAAAGAAGUUAUCCUAGUUAUGACGUUUCAAUGGGAAUGCGUGGGUUGUAUGACCAGCAUACAAAGAAAUGUGUGUGUGCCACCAGGAAACAGGGCAAAUAGACUGGGAUUUGGUCGUACCCCUUGUAGUUUGAAGCCAACUGAGAGUUCAUUCUAGAGCCAAAUAACAUUCUCUUUGAGGCUUAUUUGUUAAAGAAGCCAAUUCAAAUAAUGCUACCUAAGCCCUAGGCUAAUCCUCCCCAGGAAAAUUUGCUUUUACAUUUCCUUUGUCACUGUACUGUCCCAGUCCCAGACCUUUCCCAUCAGCUAAACUUUUCUAAUGCUGAUACUGGGACUUAAAGAAUUAGUGCUUGGGAAAAUAACCAGCUAAUCACCAGUAACUGUAUUAUGGAUACACGUACACAACUGUGGUGUCUGGCCACUGAGUCACCGCUGUGUCCAACUACAAAGACCAAGACAGUAACAGGGAUGUUGUGCCAGAUCAAAAGAAAGAAGUCGUGUUAUAUUAUAGCAUCUAAUCAAGGUGUUAGCUGUAAAUAGCUUAUUAAAUAAUAUGUAUGCUAUAAAUACAUUAUACAAUAAAUAGCAUUAGUGUAUGCUUAAUAUUUAAAGCAGAUGGUUUUGCUGCUUCAGAGAGAUUAGGCUCCCAGCCUGUCCAAGUAUAUGCUCUUAACUGAUGCUUUGGACCUGUAGGCACCUAGGAAUUGGAUUCACAGGAGUCAGAAAUAGAACAAAAGGAAAUACUGUAAUGGUAGAAAGGGCUACGGGGGAAGUCAGAGUUCAAGGUUUGCACCUGUAAUUAACUGCAAAGGGACAAAAUUCUUAAUUGAGAGUUGCUGUCUAUACAGCUACAAACAGCACAAAAUAAUUGCAUGAGUAUCUGCAAUGGUUUCCUGCAGAGGUCCUCAUGUCCACACUUUAUGCAGUUGUGGACUGUAUAUUUAAAGUAAGAAGUAGCCUGGUCUCUUGAACAGAAUGUCCCCACCAGGCAUGUAGAUUGAAACAAUAUCGAAAGGGUAUGGUUUGAGACCCCUGUGUCACUGUGGUUUGUUCCAGGGCAGAGGUUUUGGUUUUGUCUUCCAGCAAAGCAAUCUUGCUCGCUAAGCCACUCCAUGAACUGAGUAAACUCUGCAGUGGAAGGAAUAAUUGGGGGAUUGCUUCAGAACUGCACACUGCUCCAAACCAAAAUCCAAUGUAACAUCGUCAAAGUUUAAAGCAACAGAGAGGGCCCCAUCUGCUUAUCUUCAGCAUUGCCUGAAACCACAGUUGUGAGGGCUCUUGCCAAGGUCUAUGAGUUCAAGUUGUUCCCCUGCUUGAGGUGAACCAUCUUGAUAACACUCUGCUUCAGCAGAAGGAUAAGUGACGUUAUCUCCUAGUUUUGGUCUAUAGCUGAAGGUUAUGGAGGUCAGUUCAAGCCAUUAUUUUUCAUAUCCCCUUCUGCAUCAUUGUUCCUUCUUGGACAGCUGGUACCAGAGUAGAGCUUGGUGACUUUUAAUUAUUCACAUCAUUUUGUUCCUGAGUGUGCAAACUUUUCUAUUGAAUCCAGCCUGGUUUGUUGAAGUAACCAAGAUAAAAUAUGUAUGUAUGUAUUUAUUUAAUGCUGAUUUUAAACCACAGCUACUGGUUAGGUAGAAUUUUAUUAAAAUUGGUAAACUCUUAUUUUUCAGUGUCUUUGUGCUAUACUGAGUAUUUUGAGGUUAUAAACUGCUUGUUGCUGUGUUUGGAAAAGCAGCAAUUAAAUGUUAUUUUGUUCACUGGAGGAAAAGUGAGAUGUAAGAGACCCUGUAUAGCUUGUCCCUGAUUCAUCCUGCAACCUUGUCAUGGAAGCACUGACAAACUGCUUGUAGGCAGAUAGAGACAAGCAACCGUUUUCUGAUUGAGAAGUUUAAUUUUGAACUUUCUGUACGAUAAUGAAUGCAGUGUUCUUGCACUGUGGAGAUGGUUCCCCUCCAGCUGAAACAUUCGUUGAGCUCCCUAUAGACACUGUCCUGUUUGUUUUUUGGGAAAACCAUCUGGGAGCUCAUCAGAAUGAGAACCUCACAAUGUCUCCUGCAAUUUCAGCUCAAUCUGUAGGCUAACACAGGUCACUCCUUUCAGAGUGCUCUGCCUAAGUUCAACUAUUCCACUCUUUUUAUUCAGUCUCCAAGGAAACAGCUCCAAGCUGAGUUCCCUGUAAAGUCUGCUGCAGAAGUGCUGUAAUUCAGCUGUGGAGGCAGGUGCUGUAGAGCAAUGUACUUUUAGGGGUAUGUGUGCACACUUUGGUAUUUUUCACAUUACCAUGACAGGAAAAAGCAUAUUCAGAGGGGAAGAGGGACAGGUGAGAGGGAAGAAUCUGGGGAGGCUUUCUAACAAGCACUGGUUCUGUUUUCCCUGGUGGGUUGAGUAUAAAUGUUGCUCAGACAGAGGCAUUUUUGGCAAGAUAAGAUAGUUAUUAUUUUGUUGAGUAAACACUUGGAGGAGUAAACUCAAUGGGACUACAUUUGAAAUCAAUGUGAGAGCUCUCAGAGAACCCAGCAGACAUGCUGAAGAGCAAGCACAAGAUAAACACUCAGCAGAACCUUGAGGAGUGUUUCGCAGAGCUGAUUACCAGAUACAGACAUUUCAAGGAAUGAACAGCAGUGUUCCCUUAUUUUUUUAAGGAUUUGUGGACAAGUAAAACAGCUUUGUUAAACAGAAAAUUCCUUAUAUUUAUCAGCAUGUCAUUAAUAUAACCCCCUUAAUGGAGACAUAAUGGUCUGAAAGACAAUUCAGAGUGCCUUGGCUCUGCUCUGCCACUGCUAUGUUUGGUCAACAGUGGAGUAUACACCUUACAGUGACUGAGGAUUUCACUGAAUAAAGAGAUCUGUCUGAAUGUGCUACCAUCUAUGUAUAACUUGAGAAAAUGGCAUUUCUUUUCAUGAAAUGGUCUCAUUGCCUCAGAGAGAAAGACAGUUUUCAGAUUACAUUUCAUAUUUCAGUCCACAGUAGACUUGGCUUUAACUGUGAAGGCCUUCAUGGGGCCAUUUUCACCUCUGGAGCCAAUGGGCUCUCUUCUCCAGGCUGCAGCUAUUUAUUCAGUCUCCAGAAUAAAUGAAGAAGAGAUGGGACUACUGCCCCUGUGUUGGAAAUGUUCAACUGAUGGACUGGGAUCAAGGGAACUAAACUCUGUCUGCUGCUCAUGCUGGAUUUCUGGCCUCACCCAAGAUGUAAUGCAAUCUCAGUAAUUAUAAAAAAUACAUAAAAAAAACACCAUUUCUGUUACAGCUUUGAAAUGGAGCAUUUCUUACAGUAAUUCAGCUGCAGCCUUUGCAUAGAGUACAUGAAGACCCUGAUACUAUGUUUGUUUUCUUUCAUUUUAUUUAUUUAUUUCAACAGCAGAUGGACUCCCAAAACACUUCCACUGAUACCAGCAGGUUUACUGGGAUGAGAAUCAGUUUUAAAGACCUCAACCAAAGCAUGAUCAAAUGGAUGACGAAAACCUCCUGAAUUCAGCAAGGCCUAAGAGAGAUAUCAUGGGACUUCCUGAGACGUUUAGGUGAUAUUUACAGUGAUCUGCUGCUAGAGGAGCACUAAAUCACAGUUAUUUGUCUACUGGGAAUUUAAAUGCCUGGGAUGCAGUCCUACAUCAUUGCCUCAUCAGUCAUGGGGAAGCUGAAGGAAGAGUACAUUUGGACCAGGACAAGUCAAUACCAAGGGCUGUACUUUCAUUAAGGUAGCAGAAUUCUUAAAACAAAAUCUUGUCUUAGUAAGCGCCUGUUCUCUGCAAACCAGAUUCAAUUACACAGGUUUUUUAAAGGACAGUUUCAGAACAGACUGGGAUUUCUCUGAAAGCCAAAGGCCAGGAAAAAAGGAUUAAAUCACCAUGUUACAAAGCCAUGAUAUCUAGGUUGGAGGUCUGCAUGGAUUGAAAGGGGAUGCAUUCCCCCCUUCGAAGCAGGAAGCUAACCUGUCCAUAAGAGCUCAUGGAGAACGUGAAUUCAAAGUCAGGAGCAAUACUAGGAGUACUGGGGCUGACAUGGAGCAUCACUGUGCUACCUGGGCAUCCGGACCCACCAUCACAUCAGCCUGAGAUUUUCUGUGAUCACUGACACAGACAGAAGAAUUAAAACCUGAAGGAGGCUCUCAGGUGACAAAUGAGGUCUUGUCAAGGAGACUAAUAUCUCUUUUUCCACGUUCCAGUCUGUGAUCAUGGGAAGCUUCCUGGCUUUGGAGUAAGCUAGCUGCAGAGGUGAAGAUAUCUGAUGGAUGUUGUCAUGCUGAGAUGCUGCUGCUUCCAGUCAUGGAAGAGUGCAAACCCAAGAGCAUUCACAUUUUCAUGAAGACUUGAAUGCAGCAGUUCCAGAUUUUCAAGCUUCCUUUCUAAACCUACAGCAGCACUGCAUCUACUGAUGGGUGGAAGAACAGUGAGCCCUUGGAGAGUCGUUGCAAUUAUCCUUCUCCAGUUAUCCUGGCCCAGCACCAAUGUUCUUGCUUCUGCUGGAGGUGUGAAUAUGACUGUCAGGGAAAUGGACAGCCAGAAGGUAACUGGAAUAUACAUGCUUGAGAGCCAAGGCGUAUCCUUCUAGAAGGCCUGGAAUGUCUCUAGCACCAUUGAUGACAUGACCAUAAAACCAGUGAGAGGAGACAGGAACUACCAUGCACCUCUACAUUAUUUCAUAAUGAUUGGCUCCAAGCAAAGCCUUCCCUUGCAGAGACCUAAGUGCCUGUGCCCACUGGAAGAAAACUUGGCAGGAAACAUAAGUGGAAAAUUCUUAUUAGCACCUUUCUUUCCAUCUGAAUUUUCCUGACAGCCCUUAAAUCUUUGGGGGAAGCUGUAAACUUUGUAAUGAUCUUCUCAAUAGUAGCUAAAACUUUGCAUAUGCUGUUAUCAUAUUCUAUGUAGUAUUUCUGAAAAAAUGGUUUCUGGUCACACCAACACAGGGGAAGAAAUAUUUAUAUGUGGAUGUAAUUUCCCUUUCAUUCUAGAUGAAAUAAGGUUCCAGGGGUAUGAAAUUUUUAAUUAUUUUAAAUUCUUCCAGGGAACAUUUUAGAGGGGAAUGACUUUGUCUGUUGACAGUUCUAAGCUGUGAGAUGUCUUUACUGUCUUACAGUGUAUUAAUAAUUUUUUUCUUUCAAAGCCAAAGUUAACGCUAAUUGCCUGAAACUAACCUUCAAUUCAGAGAGCAUUGUCUCUUCUGCUCGGAUUUGCCUGAUUAAAUUUCUUUUAAAAACUCAAAUAUCGCUCUCCUUUCUCUUGUUAUCAUUCUCAAUAAAGCUUCAGAUUGUGGUUUGUACAAGGACCUUUUAUAGCCUUCACAGAAGGUAUAAUAUAAUUAUUACCAAUAUUUUCCUCUUACUUGGUCAUCUGCAAUCUGUCUUGGCUGCAUGUGCAAGAUAGAUUUUUGCAUGUGCAAAGGUUUACUGAGCUGCCAGUUUGCUCACAUCUCUAUUCUGG